UUCCUCUUUAUUAAGAGGUAGGGCCUGCUCACUGAUGUAUUUAAGAGCCGCGGUAUAUUGACUGUGCUAAGGUAGCAUAAUAAUUUGUCUUUUAAUUGAAGACUAGAAUGAAUGGUUUAACGAGAAAUUAACUUUUUUGAAAGUAACAUUUUGAAUUUAAUUUUUUAGUGAAAAAGCUAAAAUAGAAUAAAAAGACGAGAAGACCCUAUAGAGCUUUAUAUUUGAAUUAUUUGUUUUUAAAUAAUUUUGGUAAUCGCAAAUAAGUAAAUUAUUUUGUUGGGGCGACAUUUAGAUAAGAAAAACUUUUUAUUUUUAAAAUUUCAAUUGAAAAAUUUUUGAUCCUUAAAAAAGAUUAAAAGAAUAAGUUACCUUAGGGAUAACAGCGUAAUCUUUCUUGAGAGUUCUAAUCGACAGAAAGGUUUGCGACCUCGAUGUUGGACUAAAAUUAAAUUAAGGAGCAGUAUCCUUAGAUUUAGGUCUGUUCGACCUAUAGACUUUU
rnacentral:rRNA from 1 species